AUACCUUUCUCGGCCUUUUGGUUAAGAUCAAGUGUAGUAUUUGUUCUUAUCAGUUUAAUAAGUUAUCGAUUCACAUGAUAUUAACUCUAUUGUUUUAGGGGAAGAGUUCAUCAAGGUAGCUUGCUACAUGGGCUCUCAAGUGUCGUCCAUGUGUUGCACUAUUGCAACUGCCUGGUGCACCCCAC
rnacentral:snRNA from 1 species